GGGAGGGUAGGCAUGGCAAUCAAGCACAUAGGCUAGUUACAUUUUAGAGUGUUAAGGGAACGCUGAAGUCUUGAGGGAGCCUAGCUGACUCCACUCCAUCUAAUUAGAGGGAGGGGAGGAAUUGAGGGAAAUCUUGAAAGAGUUGCGGUUUGUCAAAAGUUUGCAGUUGUAGCUGUGGGACUACAGAAGUUAUUUAAUCUUUGGGCCUGUUUCUUCUUCUAUAAAACAUUGAGAAAUGGGCCCACCUAUCUUUCUGGGUUGUCUAUCUUUCUGGGUUGUCUUGAAGAUUACAUGAAAGCAUGUGUGAGAAGUCUGGAGCUUGUUAAAUUUUUGCAGACCACAGUUUUAGCUUGUGGGCCAUACAGAAACAGACCAUGGGCCACUUUUGGCCCUCAGUGAAAAGGCUUACUGCCUCCUGAAAUACAUUUUUGUAUCCUCUAAAGAUUGGAACUGCAACCGUGACUUUUUUCCUGCCGAGAAAAACCUACCAGUAAUGACUGUAUAAACAUCCUGAUUGCAAAUGUGACAAAGAAACAC
ensembl:lncRNA